GACGAACGCUGGCGGCGUGCCUAAUACAUGCAAGUAGAACGCUGAAGGAGGAGCUUGCUUCUCUGGAUGAGUUGCGAACGGGUGAGUAACGCGUAGGUAACCUGCCUGGUAGCGGGGGAUAACUAUUGGAAACGAUAGCUAAUACCGCAUAAGAGUAGAUGUUGCAUGACAUUUGCUUAAAAGGUGCAAUUGCAUCACUACCAGAUGGACCUGCGUUGUAUUAGCUAGUUGGUGAGGUAACGGCUCACCAAGGCAACGAUACAUAGCCGACCUGAGAGGGUGAUCGGCCACACUGGGACUGAGACACGGCCGAGACUCCUACGGGAGGCAGCAGUAGGGAAUCUUCGGCAAUGGACGGAAGUCUGACCGAGCAACGCCGCGUGAGUGAAGAAGGGUUUCGGAUCGUAAAGCUCUGUUGUAAGAGAAGAACGAGUGUGAGAGUGGAAAGUUCACACUGUGACGGUAUCUUACCAGAAAGGGACGGCUAACUACGUG
rnacentral:rRNA from 1 species